rnacentral:rRNA from 1 species
CUUGUCUUUUAAAUGGAGACUCGUAUGAACGGCGUAACCUUCUUCAACUGUCUCCCCUCCCACCCCUCUAAAUUCUUUUCUGAGUGAAGAAACCCAGAUAAGCCAGAAAGACGAGAAGACCCUGUCGAGCUUUAACCAUUAGGUGAACUUAAACCCCUUUUAGACAUCACCCAAAGGUUUUGGUUGGGGCAACCAUGGAGAAAAUAAACCCUCCAGAGCAAAUAGAAGAAAGUAAUUCACUAUUACUCCUAACUGAGAACCAGGAACUGGUAUUCAGAAAAAGUUACCGCAGGGGUAACAGCGUAAUCCCCUCUAAGAGUCC